UAACUAUAACGGUCCUAAGGUAGCGAAAUUCCUUGUCGGGUAAGUUCCGACCUGCACGAAUGGCGUAAUGAUGGCCACGCUGUCUCCACCCGAGACUCAGUGAAAUUGAAAUCGCAGUGAAGAUGCUGUGUACCCGCGGCUAGACGGAAAGACCCCGUGAACCUUUACUACAGCUUCACACUGGAUGCUGAUGUUGCUUGUGUAGGAUAGCUGGGAGGCUUUGAAACCCGGACGCCAGUUCGGGUGGAGCCAACCUUGAAAUACCAGCCUGGCAUCAUUGGCGUUCUAACUCAGGUCCGUGAUCCGGAUCGAGGACAGUGUGUGGUGGGUAGUUUGACUGGGGCGGUCUCCUCCUAAAGAGUAACGGAGGAGCACGAAGGUACCCUCAGCACGGUUGGAAAUCGUGCAGUGAGUGCAAGAGCAUAAGGGUGCUUGACUGCGAGACAGACACGUCGAGCAGGUACGAAAGUAGGUUCUAGUGAUCCGGUGGUUCUGUAUGGAAGGGCCAUCGCUCAACGGAUAAAAGGUACUCCGGGGAUAACAGGCUGAUACCGCCCAAGAGUUCACAUCGACGGCGGUGUUUGGCACCUCGAUGUCGGCUCAUCACAUCCUGGGGCUGAAGUCGGUCCCAAGGGUAUGGCUGUUCGCCAUUUAAAGUGGUACGCGAGCUGGGUUUAGAACGUCGUGAGACAGUUCGGUCCCUAUCUGCCGUGGGCGUUGGACGUUUGAGAAGAGCUGCUCCUAGUACGAGAGGACCGGAGUGGACGCACCUCUGGUGUUCCGGUUGUCACGCCAGUGGCAUUGCCGGGUAGCUAUGUGCGGACAGGAUAACCGCUGAAGGCAUCUAAGCGGGAAGCCUCCUUCAAGAUGAGACGUCCCCGAGGCCUCGAGCCUCCUGAAGGGCCCAGCGAGACCAGCUGGUUGAUAGGCCGGGUGUGGAAGCGCUGCAAGGCGUUGAGCUAACCGGUACUAAUGGCCCGUGAGGCUUGACCAUAUAACACCCAAG
rnacentral:rRNA from 1 species